GUACUCACUUUGGCAGCACAUAUACUAGUAACGUUGGAAUGAUAAAGAGAAUAUUAGCAUGGCCUCUGUGCAAGGAUGAUAUGCAAAUUAAUGAAGCGUUCCAUGUUUGA
ensembl:snRNA U6 U6 spliceosomal RNA